rnacentral:lncRNA from 1 species
AUGACCCUGGGCAAGUUAAAUCACAUUGAAUCAAGUGGCUUUUCUCCCUCCUUUUCUCUCUCUCUCUCUCUCUCUCUCUCUCUCUCUCUCUCUCUCUCUCUCUCUCUCUCUCUCUCUCUCUCUCCAGUUUCUGUCUCUUUCUUUCCCUCUUUUUUCUUCUUCUUCUCUCUCUUCUUCUCCUCUCUCUUCCUCUCUCCUUCCCUUUUUCCUCACUAUUUCUCUCCCUUUCUUUCUCUUUCUCUCUCUCCUUCUCCCUCUAUCUCUGUCUUCUUCCUUUUCUUCUCUCUUUCUUCUCCUCCUCUCUUCCUCUCUUCUUCUCCCUCUGUCUCUUUCUUCUUCCUCUUCUUCUCUCUUUCUUCUCCUCCUCUCUUCCUCUCUUCUUCCCUUUUUUUCUAUCUCUCGGUUUCUUGCUCCAUUCCUCACUAUUUCUCUCUCCCUCCCUCUCUCCUUCUCCCUCUCUCUCUGUCUCUGUCUUUAUACCUAUCUCUCACUCCCUGCCCAUCCAGAGGAUCAGGAUUCAAUUCCCAUCUUGAACAUACUAUCUGUAUCAUCUUGGGCAAGUCCUUUAAUCUCUAUAGCCCUCUGUUUCCUCAUCUCUAUAGUAAGUGGAUUGAACUAGCAUUCAAAGAUAUGCUAGAGUCAACUUGAAUAGCGCACUAGAGUCCAUUGUCGAGUUUUCAGUGCAAGCAUUUACAACUUGGAAAUGGUCAAAGGGUACAAAUGAGGGACCGAUUUGUCAUCUUGUGGAUUGUCUAGACUUAAGAAAAUGAUAAAUAAAAUGUUAAUGAUGCAGAUUAGAUUUAAAAGU